GCCGUGGUGCUAAAGUUCAAUAACAGUCAUCCCUCCUCCAAGAGCAGAACUCUUCAAACAUAAAUUGACAACCAUCACACCAGAACCAGAAUUGAUUCACAGACCAAAUCAAGAAUCCAUAUUCAUAUUCCUGCAAUGCUGCUGCUGCUGCUGAUACUCUACAGAGCAGCACAGGUUCACGGUGACGAUUCAGUGGAACAAUGCUUGGCAAGCUGUGGGCAAAAUGUUGUCCAAUGUGUUGUCAAAAGUGCAACAAGUGAAGAGUCGAACCUGUCAAAAUGCGCUGAGGGAUGUGGUUGUGAUAUCUUCAAGUGCAUGCGCAAAGUGUUUGAAACCACAUCCAAGAUCCAUCCUCCUCCAUCGC
rnacentral:misc_RNA from 1 species